rnacentral:lncRNA from 1 species
UAAUGUGGCACAAACUACUGGGUUUGGAUUCAGUUCUAUCAUCCUUCUGUAAGGCACAUACUUCGAAACCUUCAUCUGAACUACUAUAGGAUAUAGAGGCUUACGGAAUGGCUGCUUGUUAAGAUAAUGAGCUGUGAUGGCAAACAGGAAUUUAGAAGGAUGAUAAAAGACAAUGGAUGAGGUUUGAAGGAAUUAUUUCAUCUUUUUUUUAAAUUAUUUUUGGAUUUUUGUUGUUUAUACUAUGGAUUUUUAGAGAAAGCUUAAAGAGACUGGAAGAGUGUUUGUAGCAGGGAAAUGGAACCUGGCUCUGAAUCCAGCCAACAUCAGAAAAGAAAGACUGUGACACAUGGACUGGAAGAUCAAAAAAGGGUUCUCUGGAUGCCAUCAAAAUGAAGAAAAUACUUCAGAAAUCUUA